UACGGGGGGAGCAAGCGUUGUUCGGAUUUACUGGGCGUAAAGGGCGCGUAGGCGGCCAGCACAAGUCAGUUGUGAAAUCUCCGGGCUUAACUCAGAAAGGUCAACUGAUACUGUGCGGCUAGAGUGCAGAAGGGGCAACUGGAAUUCUCGGUGUAGCGGUGAAAUGCGUAGAUAUCGAGAGGAACACCUGCGGCGAAGGCGGGUUGCUGGGCUGACACUGACGCUGAUGCGCGAAAGCCAGGGGAGCGAACGGG
rnacentral:rRNA from 1 species